AUGGCUUUAACGGUGGUGUCUGCAAUUCUGAUUUUUUUAAUUUCCUGCGUAUUGGUUACUUGCUUUCGGAUACCAGGUUUCGGUGGUUCGUCUGGUUUGAAUGGCUCGCCCGGUUUGACGGGUUUUCCCGGUAUAGCACCACCAGCUUGCCAGACGAUUCAAAGCAAACAUUGUGCUAAAUAUGGAUUCAAUGUGACGAGCUUUCCGAACUAUCUUGGACAUACUUCGGUGGAUAUUGCAGAUAUCAAUUUGGGCACUAUACUCGAACAGAUUAAAUUCUGUACCAUAGAAAGGACAAGAUCUCAGUUGAUAGCAUGUGCAAUACACGUUCCGAUUUGCAUUGAGGGCAAAAAAAUACCACCCUGCAUGGAAGAUUGCAAAGAAGUGAUCACUACUUGUAAGGUAAACCAACUGCCAGGAUUGCACAUGGCUGAAACCCUAUGUGGAAUUUUCCCCUCCAAAGUAACUGCAGGAAACGGUGGUUGUAUUAGUAUGCCGUAGAGUGCAAGGUCCAUAUACGGUUUGGGAUAUUUGCAGCGUUAUAGUUGUAUAUUUAAUAAAUGCAUCAAGACAAUAUCUUCUUAUAUCAAUAUACAUAUGCCGUAUGUGGUUGAUAAAUAAACAAAGAAGUUGUAUUGUUGAUAAUAUUUGUUUUUAAAUCACGGAUAUAAAUAUCUACAGAAAUUUUGGAUAAUCAUUGAAGACCAAUCUGUUUAUGAAAUAAUGUCUACGAUUUUGAAUUAUAGACGAUUUUGAUUAAA